GAGUUAGCGAAAUUCCAAUGUGUGCGGAUCGGCAAAAAAUGCGAAAUAACCCUUUAACCGUAAUUUUGACAGAUACGGCCGCACUGACUUUUUUGUAGAUCUUAUUGAGAUACAUAUGUGUGUCAAUUUUUGUGUCAAUAUGACAAAGCGUACAGGCGUGACAGUCAAUAGUGUGAAUUUCCACCUUAGGGGGCGCUAUGGAGCCAUUUUGCAUUUUAAUGUUUGGGCGACUUCAGAAUAUCAAAUUUUUCACCAGGCCCGGUCGUCCUGCCAAAUUUCAUGAGUUUUCGCCAGUGGGAAGUGGGCCAUUUUCCAGUUCAAAGGGGAGGAAAAAGAAGAAAGAAAGAAAGAAAGAAAGAAACAAAGAAAAACCACUUGGGGAAUAAUAGGGCCUACGCCCGGCUGCUCUGCAGCUGGCUCGGGCCCUAACUAGGACCCCGUUGGGGCACUGGCGGGCCCGAGCUGUGUCGCGUCCCCCCCCCAACGCGCUGCCUCCCCGUCCCAUUCGCGUCCUCUGGCCGUCGCCCUCUCUGGUAACGCCCAUCACUGCAAAGACCCUUUUCCUUCAUCGGCGUUUGCUGUUCUUCCUGCCAGUGCGUGUUGCUUUCACUUACACUUGCCACAGCCAGCCUCGUGAGUGCCUAGCCUAUUGGAUAUCACUGUCACCUACACAGGACAGUCAUUACCUUUCUAUUAAUACUUUGUUUUUUAAUUUCACAUUAAUUUCCAUAUUGUAUAAACAACUGGAAAAAACUUGAGCCCCUGCCCCUGUAUAAUCAUGUGCACGUCUCUGUUCUAGCUCUAAGGUGAAUCUUCACUGCUCAUGUUCUCCUCAGAAGCAGUCACCUCACUCCCCUCAGGUUACUGUACACAUGCACCAACUGCCUGCUUCAGGUUUGGAUGGAGCUUCAUGGUUGUCUUUUGGAGAAAUGACCAGUCAAGUUGUGUUUGAAAUUUGAUUUUUUUCAGGGGCAAAAGGAGCCUCUGCAUUCUUGUCAAAUAUGUAAAUAGCAUGUUUUUGCAGGUGCUAAAAACCAGACUCUGAGUGUGUGUGUGUGUGCGUGUGUGUGUGUGUCUGUGUGUGUGUGUGUGUGUGUGUGUGUGUGUGUGCGUUCAAGUCACAUGACAUAUUUAACCGGAUGUAGCUGCAAGACGGAGCCUCGUUGACUCUCCGUUUCAAUUUAUCUCAAAAGUGAGGACCUCAACCUAUAUACCAGUUUUUAAAUUGUGUUGAUAGGCCAAAUAAAACCAGAGUUAUGAUAAAUUAUGUCCGCGAUACUUUUUUUCUGCUUAUUUUGAUCACGUUCGGCGCUCGAUCGCGCUGUAUGAGACAGGAAAACAUAGCAUGCAGACAUUAGCGACAGGUCUUACAGGCGGAAAAGGCUUGCCAAAGGAAAAAAAAACACACCACAACAUCUCUCCUAUUGGUGGAAAACUUCACCACAACAACCAAUCCAAAAUUAUAUGGUGACUGAUUGACAAGGGGCGGGAACUUACGUUCUUCCUGCAAUAUGAGAAGGGAGGGAGGGACUCUCAGCAGGGAUGCAGUCUGGGACACGUAGUUGCAAACCUAGCGACUUUGUUGUUAGAUUCAAUGACUUUUCAGACCCCCUAACGACUUUUUUAGAAAGAAAGUGACUUUUAUCGACUUCUUCUGGAGUUUAGAGACUCUGACAUGAAGCAGGCUUUCCUUACUGAGGAGUUAGCAACACUGCUAAGGGUGCAGAGCCACACAUGCGCUCCGAGCUCUGCAUGGGAGACUGAAGCUGACAGAGCUGCAGCAGUUAGCAGGUUUCACCCUCAGAGACCACCAGGAGUUCAUGUUGAGGCAUUUUCAGUUUUUUUUUUUUUUGCCAUAGACACUGUCAGCACAAUCUGCAGUUACACUAACAAAAAUGCUGCAAAAAACAAAGAAUUAUGGAAAAAUUACACAUGGACUAACAUAGAGGAGGAUCUACACAAGUUUUUUACAUCAUGUUUUACAUCAUGCAUCAUUUACAUCAUGUUUUUUUGUAGUGGCAUAAAUAAAAAGUGACAUUUGUGAGACUAUACAGUGUUUUGUAAAUAAUUUUACAAAGAACACCUGGGCCAUUGCCUGCAUUUUGAUGUCAAUAGAGGUAAAUUACUAUGUUCUUUGUUAAAAAUUUGCAUAUGUUUUGAAGUUUACAAUUUUUAUUUGAAGUUUAAGUUUUAAAAACAGUUCAUCACACAUAUUUGUGGUUUUCACAGUAAAAACGUUACUUUUUUCCACUCGGAUUUUAUGUUUUGUGUGUGAAUUUGGGUCCAAUGUGUAAAUAUAGUAUGUCAAAAUGAUAAAAUAACUGUAAAUUGACACAGGUGAGGUUGUGCUGAAAAAAAUGAUACCAGGCAAGGCAAGGUAAAAAUUUUGUCAGAGGAAAUAUAAAGGUAAAAUCUAAAGUAGUCAAAAACGGCCAAUAGUGACUCACAGACUCCACAGACAAGUCCCUUUGGCGCCACUCAGUGGGCAAAACUACUUUGUCUACUGUAAUGUAUAUUUGGGUCAUCUUUGGCGCCCCCUAAAACGUAAACCGUGGGGUGCAGCGUCAUGAUUUUUACAACUUUGAAUGGCCAUGGAGUGUAGAUUGGCCUGAGCAAAUUUGGUGUCAGUGGGACGAAAGCCUUAGGAGGAGUUAGCGAAAUUCCAAUGUGUGCGAAUUGGAAAAAAAUGCAAAAUAGCCCUUUUACCGUACAUUAUACAGAUACGCGCUCUUUGACUUUUUCGUAGAUCUAAUUGAGAUACACAUGAUUGUCAAUUUUUGUGUCAUUUUGCCAAAGCGUACAGGCGUGACAGUCAACAAUGUGUAUUUUCACCUUAGGGGACAAGAAAAAUGGACUUUUUUCUCCUGCCAUGGGGGGGCGCUCUUUUAGGGAGUAAAAAUUCCUUCACAAAUGUGUUGAUGGCUGGACAUUGCAUCAUCCUAGAAAACUUGGAGGCCAGUGAGGACAAAAAUAAAAAGUUAAAAGACUUUUAAAAAUGUGGAUUUUUGGGUUAUCUUUGGCGCCCCCUAGAACUUAAACCGUGGGGUGCAGCGUCAUGAUUUGAAUAACUUUUAAUGGCCAUGGGGUGUAAUUUGGCCUGAGCAAAUGUGGUGCCGGUGGAACGAAAGCCUUCGGAGGAGUUAGCGAAAUUCCAAUGUGUGCGAAUCGGCAAAAAAUGCGGAAUAACCCUUUAACCGUACAUUUGACAGAUACGCGCGCAUUGACUUUUUUGUAGAUCUUAUUGAGUUACAUGUGUGUGUCAAUUUUUGUGUCAUUUUGCCAAAGCGUACAGGCGUAACACUCAACAAUGUGUAUUUUCACCUUAGGGGACAAGAAAAAAUGGACUUUUUUCUCCUGCCAUGGGGGGGCGCUCUUUUGGGGAGUAAAAAUUCCUUCACAAAUGUGUUGAUGGCUGGACAUUGCAUCAUCCUAGAAAACUUGGAGGCCAGUGAGGACAAAAAUAAAAAGUUAUAAGACUUUUAAGAAUGUGGAUUUUGGGUUAUCUUUGGCGCCCCCUAGAACGUAAACCGUGGGGUGCAGCGUCAUGAUUUGUACAACUUUUAAUGGCCAUGGGGGGUAGAUUGGCCUGCGCAAAUGUGGUGCCGGUCGAACGAAAGCCUUCGGAGGAGUUAGCGAAAUUCCAAUGUGUGCGAAUCGGCAAAAAAUGCGAAAUAGCCCUUUAACCGUACAUUAUACAGAUACGCGCUUUUUGACUUUUUCGUAGAUCUAAUUGAGAUACACAUGAUUGUCAAUUUUUGUGUCAAUAUGACAAAGCGUUCAGGCGUGACACUCAACAAUGUGUAUUUUCAUGUAAGGGGACAAGAAAAAAUUGACUUUUUUCUCCUGCCAUGGGGGGGCGCUCUUUUGGGGAGUAAAAAUUCCUUCACAAAUGUGUUGAUGGCUGGACAUUGCAUCAUCCUAGAAAACUUGGAGGGCAGUGAGGACAAAAAUAAAAAGUUAUAAGACUUUUAAAUAUGUGGAUUUUAGUGUUAUCUUUGGCGCCCCCUAGAACCUAAACCUUGGGGUGCAGCGUCAUGAUUUUGAUAACUUUUAAUGGCCACGGGGUGUAGAUUGGCCUGAGCAAAUGUGGUGCCGGUGGAACGAAAGCCUUCGGAGGAGUUAGCGAAAUUCCAAUGUGUGCGGAUCGGCAAAAAAUGCGAAAUAACCCUUUAACCGUAAUUUUGACAGAUACGGCCGCACUGACUUUUUUGUAGAUCUUAUUGAGAUACAUAUGUGUGUCAAUUUUUGUGUCAAUAUGACAAAGCGUACAGGCGUGACAGUCAAUAGUGUGAAUUUCCACCUUAGGGGGCGCUAUGGAGCCAUUUUGCAUUUUAUUGUUUGGGCGACUUCAGAAUAUCGAAUUUUUCACCAGGCCCGGUCGUCCUGCCAAAUUUCAUGAGUUUUCGCCAGUGGGAAGUGGGCCAUUUUCCAGUUCAAAGGGGAGGAAAAAGAAGAAAGAAAGAAAGAACUAGGGUCCCGUUGGGGCACUGGCGGGCCCGAGCUGUGUCGCCCCCCCCCCCCCCCCAACGCGCUGCCUCCCCGUCCCAUUCGCGUCCUCUGGCCAUCGUCCUCUCUGGUAACGCCCAUCACUGCAAAGACCCUUUUCCUUCAUCGGCGUUUGCUGUUCUUCCUGCCAGUGCGUGUUGCUUUCACUUACACUUGCCACAGCCAGCCUCGUGAGUGCCUAGCCUAUUGGAUAUCACUGUCACCUACACAGGACAGUCAUUACCUUUCUAUUAAUACUUUGUUUUUUUAAUUUCACAUUAAUUUCCAUAUUGUAUAAACGACUGGAAAAAACUUGAGCCCCUGCCCCUGUAUAAUCAUGUGCACGUCCCUGUUCUAGCUCCAAGGUGAAUC